rnacentral:rRNA from 1 species
GAUGAACGCUGGCGGCGUGCCUAUACAUGCAAGUCGAGCGAACAGAUAAGGAGCUUGCUCCUUUGAAGUUAGCGGCGGACGGGUGAGUAACACGUGGGUAACCUACCUAUAAGACUGGGAUAACUUCGGGAAACCGGAGCUAAUACCGGACAACAUUUAGAACCGCAUGGUUCUAAAGUGAAAGAUGGUUUUGCUAUCACUUAUAGAUGGACCCGCGCCGUAUUAGCUAGUUGGUAAGGUAACGGCUUACCAAGGCGACGAUACGUAGCCGACCUGAGAGGGUGAUCGGCCACACUGGAACUGAGAAACGGUCCAGACUCCUACGGGAGGCAGCAGUAGGGAAUCUUCCGCAAUGGGCGAAAGCCUGACGGAGCAACGCCGCGUGAGUGAUGAAGGGUCUCGGCUCGUAAAACUCUGUUAUUAGGGAAGAACAAAUGUGUAAGUAACUGUGCACAUCUUGACGGUACCUAAUCAGAAAGCCACGGCUAACUACGUGCCAGCCGCCGCCGUAA